GACGAACGCUGGCGGCGUGCUUAACACAUGCAAGUCACGGGGGCGUCGCAAGGGCAACCGGCGAACGGGUGCGUAACACGUGAGCAACUUACCGAUUUGUGGGGGAUAGCCGGCCCAACGGCCGGGUAAUACCGCAUACGCUCUCUGGGUGGAGUCACCUGAAGAGGAAACCUCCGGGGCAAAUCGAGGGGCUCGCGGCCUAUCAGCUAGUUGGUGCGGGUAACGGCCCACCAAGGCGAUGACGGGGUAGCUGGUCUGAGAGGAUGGCCAGCCACAUUGGGACUGAGAAACGGCCCAGACUCCUACGGGAGGCAGCAGUGGGGAAUCUUGCGCAAUGGCCGAAAGGCUGACGCAGCGACGCCGCGUGUGGGA
rnacentral:rRNA from 1 species